rnacentral:pre_miRNA from 1 species
AUUCUACUCCCUCCGUUCCACAAUACAUGCCUUCUAUUUGUCAAAAUAUAUGUAUCUAGACAUGAUUUAGUAUAUAGGUACAUCCAUUUUUGGACAAAUGGAAGUCAAGUAUUUUGGAACGGAGGGAGUACACA